ACGUACGGAUUGACAAUUCGUAUGGUUCAUAAGGAUCAGUAAUCCGUAUGGCCAUACAGAUUGUCAAUCCGUACGUGUGUCA
rfam:Glycine max cultivar Williams 82 chromosome 17, whole genome shotgun sequence.